rnacentral:rRNA from 1 species
GACGAACGCUGGCGGCGUGCUUAACACAUGCAAGUCGAACGGAAAGGCCCUGCUUUUGUGGGGUGCUCGAGUGGCGAACGGGUGAGUAACACGUGAGUAACCUGCCCUUGACUUUGGGAUAACUUCAGGAAACUGGGGCUAAUACCGGAUAGGAGCUCCUGCUGCAUGGUGGGGGUUGGAAAGUUUCGGCGGUUGGGGAUGGACUCGCGGCUUAUCAGCUUGUUGGUGGGGUAGUGGCUUACCAAGGCUUUGACGGGUAGCCGGCCUGAGAGGGUGACCGGCCACAUGGGGACUGGGGUACGGCCGAGACUACUACGGGCGGCAGGAGGGGGGAAGAGUGCAGACUGGGGCGAAGUCUGAUGCGGCAACGCCGCGUGCGGGAGGACGGCCGGCGGGUUGGAAACCGCGUUCGCCGGUGACGAAGCGGGAGUGACGGUAAUUUGUAAAGAAGCACCGGCUAACUACGUG